AGAGGUAAACAUGAGUCACCACACUUUCAUUAAAUGAAAAACUGAUAUAAGUGAAAUGAACAAAAAAGCCAAUCCCAUUCACCUUCGAAAGCAAAGGAGGCUGCAGAAACUGAACUCGGUUCUUAGAUUUCCAGGCCUCCCGGCCAUUUUCUACAGGCAUCAUUGCACAUUGUGACUGGUUCCCAGGGCAUAGCUCUUGACAGUUAAGUUUCCGUUGCUUGGCAAAGUACAGAAUAUCAAAAUCUCCAUCUUCCGAGGGCCUCUGUGGAGUUAAAAGAAGUAAAAUAAAAUAUCAUUCUAAUACUCCUGAGAAUAUAAGGCCUCGUCAUGAAAAGAACCCUCACUGCCUUGCUAUGUCUUAGCUCUGCCUGCCAAGUACUAAGAGGUCUCUUUGAAAUCUGAAAAUGAUUUUCAGUACAUUCCAUGAGAGAAGCCCAUCUGCUGAGAGAAAAUUUAAAUGGAACUUGUGAAUAGCUUUCUUUAUCAUGAGGUGGGAUGGUUUCUGAUCCCAACAUGGGUACCUACCAGAGAUGCCUGGACUUCAGGCCAGUCUAGACGAGCUAUGGAUCUCCGGCACCCAGGGCAAACUAUCCUAACCAGAGGAUAAUUCCAGGAAGUGAGAACAAAGAUAAUGUCACAUCACAAUCGUAAUAAUGAAGAACCAAAAUGACAAUGGCAGGAGAAAGCAGAGAAAAUAAAAUGUUACAAGAUAGAGAGGCGGUUAGGAAAUCACAAACUGAUCGUUUUUCUUCAGGACACACCACUGAGAAAAAUUAAAUCUUUAACCUCUGAUGGCUUCCUGUGGCUAAGCCACAGAAAUCUAAUUGAGAGGCUCAGGUCCACAGAAAUCUGCUGUCUGCUCCGGCUACACAAUCAUAUUAUGAUAAGCCUUUGACUCGAUUACUCUAAGAAACAAAGAAUUGUUGCUACGGCAUUAUUAUAUAGACUACCCAGCCAAACGAUGCUUUUUUACUCUUUGUUCACUAGUCUUUCCCCCCAUUAUCUCUGGCAAACAGAUGAAGGAGAAACCUCAGGAGACACUGUAUUGUGUUUGAUUCUGGGGGUUUUCCAAAUGCAUUUUGUAUUUCCAUCAUAGAAAAGACACAGAAUUGAGUAGCUGUAUAACAGACAGAAGAUAAUUACUUUGGGGAUAGCACUGUAAUAUUUCUUAUAUUACAAUACACUUUGUAUCUAUGUGGUGGGUGAAGAUGUUGGAACUACAAAGGCUUCUCACAAUUAUGUGCUUGCUGCUCGUUAUAUCUGCACAUUCUCAGACAGUGCAAGGAUACCUUUCUGUUUGUUUACAUUUAGCUCCAACAGGAUCUGCAUAGAAUAAACCCUAGCCAAGGGUUGGGAUCUCAGAAGAACUCUGUCCUUUUUCUUUCCCUGGCUCUGGCAGGUAAAAUGAAAAGGCCUGCAGGCUUUCAGAGGAGGAAGAGGUGCCUGAAGAAAUCUCCUUCCCUGUUCUCCUAAUACCAGAGUAACUUUAUUCACUGUUGCCUUAAACUUCCACCUCUUCAUACAAAAGUCCCCAUGUGAAAAAUCAGCUCCUCUGGCCUCCGCUAACUCUCCCAAGGACAGACAGCACAGCCCUCGCCCUGCUGCCCAAACAGAGCUUUUCUCAGAGGCAUUAACUUCCCGUUACCAUGACCUCUUCGCAACUCUGCCACUUGGCAUUUGACUUAGAGCCAAGCCUAGUUCUUGGCUCUCAACAAGUGUUCUCUGAAUAAAUAAAUAGGUGAGCAAAUUAAUCAACUAAAGAUUGCAACUAAACAGUCAGGAGGCCUAGGAACAUGGGAUGUUGACACCUGCUAGGAGUACAAUUCUCUAUUAAGAUCUAUGAGAUUGUGAUUGCAAACAGAGGACCCCAAAGAGCAUGGUAAUUUCUGAGUAACCAAAAGCAGCCAGCAUUGGUUGUAUUAGUUUUAUGUCCUAUGGCAUGCAGCGUAUAUAGCCUGUGGAGAUAAAUUUUAAUAGUCAAUAUAGUCUUAAAAUGUAUCUGCAAGUGUUACUUGUUGCAAGUAACUAAUAAUUUCUUGUUGCAAGAAAUUAUAACUAUAAUAAUGAUACCGAAAACAACCAAUUAAGGGCAAUACAGGUUAAUUUACCAUUAAAACUAACAGUAUGGGUAGAUAUUUUCAGUGAUGUCUUUGUUCUGUGGAUAGGCCGUGGGUUCACGGGCUUUUACUCUUCCAUUAAAAAUAAUGAAAUUCCCUGGUGGCCUAGUGGUUAAGGAAUCGGCAUUGUCACUGAAGUGAUGCAGGUUCAAUCCCUGGCCUGGGAGCUUUGCAUGCUGCUGGUGCAGCCAAAGGAAAAAAAUACACACACACACACACACACACACACACACACACACACAUAAUCAUACAUGUCUUGAACCCACCAUGACUGUGAGCAACAAUCAUAGUCCUUAUAGUUGGGGGUUAAAAAAAAAAAAAAAAAAAAAACUAAAGGGAGCAAAUCUUCCUAUAAUGUAAAAUCCUCAAUCUAUUAUGAUAAUUAUCUGUCUUUGUAUAGCUCUUCAAUUUAACAAGCACUCAGUGUUCUACUUUAUUUAAUGAUUUAGAUUUUUGUCUACAGGUUAAUAAAAUCCUUUGUUAGUACUGAAAACGGCAAAUAGUGCUCAAUAUCCUAAGUGAGCUGAUUAUGUGAUAUGAGACUGAUUUUUAAGCAGAUGUUCUGUUUAGGGGACAUUAUGGACUCAUGACCCAUUUGAAUCUUCACAAUAAACUAUUUAAUAAAAAAGAAAGCAAGAACAGGGUUCUGCUAUAUUCAGGCACAAAGCUUAAAAGACUUGUGAAAACCAAUUCAAUCCUUAUUUUCUCUCAUUCAUGAGCAAUGUCCUUCACUGUCAUAAAAACUAAUCCUGGUUAAAGUUCAAUUCACAGGACAGAACUGAAUUAAUUAAUGUUCCAACAACAAUAACAACAAUAAAAAGAGUAAUAACUGAGGAUGACUUUCCACUUAUAUAAGGCUUUGCUGUUUCCAUGACAUUAGAACCCCUAUUUGUUACCAAUGCUAGCAUUCACUCAGCAUGCAGGCACCAGAACAGAGCACCCAGCCCGAGCUGGAUAAAUAAUCAUUAGUGACGGUGACUGUGUUAACGAAACCAUCCACAGCGGUCUGUAUCAUUCACUCAGGAGUCAGUGUGAAAUGUGACAUAAACACUUCAUUUGUAGGACUUACCUACAGAGAGCAACACAAUUAACAGGGAUGAGAUUAGAAUUUAAGGAGAGGGAGCGUUUUACCACACAAGGCUAUAAUGGUUCCUAAGAAGAGUCAGUUACUCCAGGUUGAGAGCUCACCCUGAACACAAGAGGAAUCACAAAGAAAAUGCCAUUUUUCUGUAUGUCCUUGAAAAGGACUUUGGAGUCACCAUUUAAACCUGGGCUAUAAAAGACUCUAACUUCUAUUGCCUUCAUAACAAUUGCUCCAAAGGUGGAUCUCUUGGAUGGCAACCUGUCUGCAAGUAAAUGCAACGUCACAGAAUAUGGGUUAAGGAAAGUGCUUUGCUGAGGAAAGCGGAGGUUUGCAAAGCUAGGCUCAGCAAGAGUAGACGACGUGGGGUCACCCAUUGUCCCCAUGGAGAGGGGGCCAGGGCACCCCACUGGACAGGUAGUGUGGCUUAUGUCCAAACCCCCUUUCUCUAUGACUUUGUGUCUUAGACACACAGGAGAAGGUGCUUUGUUAUAGGAAGUACAGACAGUCUCCUGCUGCUAAGUGGGCUGUAUUUAGAUGCCAGUUGCUUACGGAAAUUGUCUGGGAAAGCCAGGCAUCCAGCAUCCAGAGAUCUUGAGGCCCAUGUGGGAUUGCAGGCUUCCCUGCUAAGAAGAAAAGCCACCCUUCCUGUGAGAAGCUGAGCUUGGAUGCAGCACCACUCCCUGGCAAGGGAAACACCCAGGGCCAGCCUGAAUCACUGUUAAGGCAAACCAGAGAGGGCACCUAAGGUCAUUUGCAGAUAUCUGUUCCCUGCAUCACGAUAUGACCCACGAAAGUUUGCAAAAGACUGUGAAAUAAAAUCAUACUAAUGUGAACUCUUUGCUUCCCUGUGUCUUAUUUGGCUUUAUUAGAAAGAUCCUGUUAUAACUAACAUCCAAUAAAGUAUUCUGUGAAAAGAGGAUAUCCCUUGCCAGGCUUCUUUCUUUUUCUUAGAACCAAGUGUACAUAUUUCUCUACCAAGCACUUAUAAAUCCUUUGCCUCCUUUUGUUUUGUAAUGUAUUACACUAGAACCAAUGCUAGGGGAAAAAACUGUGGUAUAGGUCACCUUGCUGUCAGAGCUCCUCACCUGCACCCUGCUGUCUCCCGCCCUGGGUACAAGGUCUUUGCAUUGCCCACGUGGGCCUCAGCCUCAGGGCACUAAUCUCCCAUGUGUGCCCUCUGAGCAGUAAGACUGCCUGCUCCGUACUGCCUUCUCUAGCAAUGCACGGUGAUUUCAUAUGCAAGUACAUUAACUCUAUUAAACUGUUUCACUUUCUAGUGUGCAGUCAACUGAGUGGUGAUGAAAAUUCUAAACACUCAAAGGGUUUAUUUUAUCAAGGAAGGCUUCUGAGUCCUUUACUUUCUGCAGUCCUUUUGCAUUGGCUCCAGCCUGGCUUACUGACACAGAGACGGCGGGUUGUGAGUGCAGAUGAGGCUUCAUGGGACACACCUGUAGUCCUUUGGUUACUUUGCAUCAGACUUUGCCUUGAUCUAGGAUCUCCCAGUUCCUCCAAUUUCCAUUUUAUCAUCAUUUAUUUUAUGCAUCACUGUUGCAGACCACUUUAUCCAGUUUCUGGGAUAAGGGUGUGUACAAAUAGGCUAGUAGUAAGUGUGUGCUUGGGUAUUGCUCCCUAAUAGUUGUUUUUGGUGUAUGUGAAUCUCGAAAGUGAAACCACAGUCUCCAGUUCUUGUUGAUUGACUAUUAAAUACUUGGUUGACUAUUAAUAAUGCUAAAAUUGUGCAGUGAACUUGGAACCAAAACAAAUCUGUUUGAUUCCUGACCCUAUAUUAGAAUAAAUAAACUCUAAAUUUCCCUUCUCCUCUGUUGUUUCUCCACAUUGAGGAGGGGUAGGGUAUAUUUCACGAGAAGUCACCAAAGACCACAUUCUAGGCAACUUUUUACUGUCAAGGACAAACUUUUUUUAAGAAAAAAGGAAAUUUCAUAUUAAAAUAAUUUAUUAACUGAUUAAAUACCAAGACAAGAUGACUCAAGUCUCAUUAAUCAACUACUAGCCAACCUUCCGAACCUCCUUUACGAGACGUUUUAAUAUUCCUUAAGCUAAGUUUCCUAAAGUCUAAGACAGACUUCCUGACCUCGAGCCCAAAUCAACAAAGUUCUCUCGAGCAUCCCCCAAGUCCUCUGGGCGAGGGCCUGAUGGCGGAUGUGAGAAGACACUGAGGGUUCAGCAUGUACUGUGCCACCAUGCCGAGGAGUGUCUGCAGCCUCAGAGAAUCAAGCAGGUACCUGUCUGUGUUUCCUGUGGUCUUAGAAGCUGGGAACCAAACCAAGUCACACCAUGUUUCAACUGCAGCGAAUCAUUAGCAAAACAGACAAAUGGCAACAGUGCAAUCGCAACAACAAGCAGGUGGCACUUUCUCAACACCAAAGAUGUUAUCCUGAAAACACAACUAAUAGGCUAGAAUAUAAACAGCACAACUUUCUCAUAAAUAAGAAGUCUUGCAGCUGUCAGUAGAUCCAAGUCUUCUGAUUCACUUCUCUACUGUGGGCAUCUGAGGUCCCGUCCUAAUAUAUGUGAGUGAAAACUGAGCAAAGAAACAAUGAAAUAAAUGGCACUCCUGCCAAUGUCUCAGAACCACUAGAGGACACAUCAAAAAUUUCAACAUAAACCCCAGGUCUUCUGCUUCUAUCAAAAUGCUUCUUAGUUGCUCUUAUUUCCAUGUUAAUCAGCCUCGAGCUGGUUCAAGAUCUGUCAGCAUAGAGUGAGAUUCUUUCCUGUUUUUAAUAUCAAAUUAGGAAUUGAAUUCCUUUGUGAUGCAUCUCUUUAAAGUCUAGAAUUAUUUUCUUCUCAAUUAUUACAUCACAUUCAAUUCUGAUGGCCAUAGGAUACUAUUUCCUCACUUUUAAAAAAUCAUCAAAGUAUCUGAAUAUUUUAGGUAUGACUGUGAGAUGAACUGUCCUAAAUAAAUCUUAGUUCCUUGACGUUUGAUGGAACGUGACGUCAAAAUCGAGUAUUCUACAUGUACAAAAGCACUCUAUGUGUCAGCAGUAGCACAGCUGCUCCAGAAUAAGCUAGAGUGAAUGACCAAAGCCCACCUUCCCCAUUACGCCCCUCUACAUACAGCAUCAUCGCCCCCAUUCACAGUAUUUCCCACCAUAUAACUUCCCAGAUGGACGCAGAGGCCCCUCUGCCAAAUACAGACUAAAUAUACUACCCUAAAUACAGUUCAAUCAUAAAGUCGAAUCAUAGAUAGACAGUUCUUUCAGAUACUUCAAAACAAUAAAAAGCAUUUUUAAAAAUAUUGCUAUAGGCUCAGAUUCUGCCAGCAUGUUAAGUAUUGGUAUAUAUCACCAUCCCUGGAGUUAUAUAUUCUCAUUACUUAUUUUCCCCAAGCAGGAUCUACUUAAAUUUCUAUGUGAUAAAUCAAAUUUCCAGCUGGGCCAAUGCCCCAGUAGUAGGAAUUAUAUGGGAUAUAUCACAGCUACAAUCUUUAUGAUCAACUCAUACUGUUCUCCCCAGCUAUUGCAAAAGUCCAGCAAAUUUUCCAGGCCUCCUGCUUUGUGGAUGGUGGAAAUGUUAUAGUUACGCUGAGAUAAAAGUUAACGAAAAUUAUAUACGUAGAAAAAAAGUGUAUGUGAGUGUGGGUGUGUUUACUGAUAUAUAUAUAUAUCCCUCAUCAGGUUUACAGGAAGCAGGCAUUAGAGCAGGUCUUCUUCUUUCAAGCAGACCCCACAUCGUUUUCCCAGGUUUUAUCUAAAUACAAAUUCCAAGAUAACCUGGACACUUUCCCUUUCACAUCCUUGCAUUUUUUUCCCACGAAUAAUUUCUGGGCUCAUCUCCCGAUUCUGCCACACAGAGGCUUUGUGACAGUUGACGGGUUACUUAACUUCUUACAGCCUCUCCUUGAGAAUGGAGAUAUUAAUAUCACGUG
rnacentral:lncRNA from 1 species